rnacentral:rRNA from 3 species
UACGUAUGGAGCAAGCGUUAUCCGGAUUUACUGGGUGUAAAGGGUGCGUAGGUGGCAGUGCAAGUCAGAUGUGAAAGGCCGGGGCUCAACCCCGGAGCUGCAUUUGAAACUGCUCGGCUAGAGUACAGGAGAGGCAGGCGGAAUUCCUAGUGUAGCGGUGAAAUGCGUAGAUAUUAGGAGGAACACCAGUGGCGAAGGCGGCCUGCUGGACUGUUACUGACACUGAGGCACGAAAGCGUGGGGAGCAAACAGG